CUCGUCCUCCCGCCCGUCAACGAGCUCAUCACCGUCCCCACCCAGGUCAACUACGUGGGCAAAGGCGCUAACCUGUACAAAUCGGGGUACGAGCUCCACGGCUCUGCGUACGUCAUCAACAAGCUCCUCGGCACCACCUGGCUCUGGGACCGCGUGCGCGUGUCCGGGGGUGCCUACGGAGGGUUCUCCGACUUUGACAGCCACAGCGGCAUGUUCAGCUACCUGUCCUACCGCGAUCCCAACCUCCUGAAGACCAUCGCCAACUACGACGGAACGGUGGAGUUUUUGAAGGACAUCUCGCUCGACAAGGAUGAGCUGACCAAGGCGAUCGUCGGCACCAUGGGCGACCUGGACUCGUACCAGCUCCCCGAUGCAAAGGGCUACACCGCGCUCAUGCGCCAUCUGCUCAAGGUUAAGGACGAGGAGAGACAGCAACGCAGGGAGGAGGUGCUGGCGACGACGGAGAAGGAUUUCAAGAAGUUUGGCGAGGUGCUCGAGGC
rnacentral:lncRNA from 1 species